rnacentral:rRNA from 1 species
UACGAAGGGGCGUAGCGUUGUUCGGAAUUACUGGGCGUAAAGCGCACGUAGGCGGAUUGUUAAGUCAGAGGUGAAAUACCCGGACGCUCAACUUCGGAACUGCCUUUGAUACUGGCAAUCUCGAGUCCGGAAGAGGUUAGUGGAAUUCCCAGUGUAGAGGUGAAAUUCGUAGAUAUUGGGAGGAACACCAGUGGCGAAGGCGGCUAACUGGUCCGGUACUGACGCUGAGGUGCGAAAGCGU